UACGUAGGGGGCAAGCGUUGUCCGGAUUUAUUGGGCGUAAAGAGCUCGUAGGCGGUUUGUCGCGUCUGCUGUGAAAACCUAAGGCUCAACCUUGGGCUUGCAGUGGGUACGGGCAGACUAGAGUGCGGUAGGGGUGACUGGAAUUCCUGGUGUAGCGGUGGAAUGCGCAGAUAUCAGGAGGAGCACCGAUGGCGAAGGCAGGUCACUGGGCCGCAACUGACGCUGAGGAGCGAAAGCAUGGGGAGCGAACAGG
rnacentral:rRNA from 1 species